UGGGCAACCUGCCCCAGACACUGGGAUAACCCCGGGAAACCGGGGCUAAUACCGGAUACUCCGAUCGAACCGCAUGGCUCGAUCGGGAAAGCUCCGACGGUCUGGGAUGGGCCCGCGGCCUAUCAGCUCGUUGGUGGGGUAACGGCUACCAAGGCGACGACGGGUAGCUGGCCUGAGAGGACGACCAGCCACACUGGAACUGAGAUACGGUCCAGACUCCGUACGGGAG
rnacentral:rRNA from 1 species